GAACAUGGCCGAGUGGUUAAGGUGAUGGAUUAGAAAUCCAUUGGGAUCUCCCUGCAUAGGUUCGAAUCCUAUCGGCAACG